UGGUGUUACCAGACUUCACUGAAAUGUGGGGCUUAAUGAAAACAAUGAAAUCUCGGGGAAAGGCUCUGGUCCUGUGGGCACCCCUGAAUAGGGUCCGGAGCCGGUUCUGACGGUGGUUACUUUCUCGGCAUCGAAACGGCCGCGGAGCCAGGCUCUUUCCUCGCCUGUCAACCGGUGACACGCGAAUCCACCCUCGCCCGCGCUGGUCCCCGCCCGCCCACGCCGUCCCCGCGGAUGCAGGGGCCCGUUCAUCCGGGCAGGAAGCCCUGCGCGCCGCGCCCAGGCCCCGCCCUCUUCCUUUGAUCCUCGGCUGAAUGCCGAGCCGCGAGCCUAGCGAAGCCUCUCAGAGUGUCUCUAUGUGUAAACUGCAGCCUGCGGCACAUUGUUAUACUACAAUACCUGCAGCCACUGAGCACGCCGACGUACAGCCCAGAAUAACUGCUCGGAGAAGGAGCGCUAACACAGCUCUGCAGCAGCACCGCUCAAGGUGCGGGUGAGGACUGGGGCGGGCCCCAGGUCCAAGCCUUGCCAGAAUCGUGCAAGAUAGAGUUUCCCAGAGGUCGCCGGCAGCGAUGACAGCAGCCUGGCAGCACAAGCAGACACAGGCAUCGGCGGCUUUCCAGGAAGUCAGAUACCAAAGAGGUCUGCAGCUAUGCAAAACAAGACCCCUCUUCUUAUUAAAGAACCUGUGCUCUAAAAAAUA